UUUCUCAUAGCUUAUAGUUAAAGCAAAGAGCUUUUAACUCUUUGAAGCAAAUUUUUGCUGAGAAAA
rnacentral:tRNA from 1 species